GUGACAGUGCGUGACGCGUCAUUGUACUUCCUGUUUAACGCGUGACUACAGAGUACGCGACUACAGAUUAUAAACAACAAAGAUCAGAAGAGACCCAGACAGAAAUAAGAGAAGUUCAUGAUGGCUGAUGGUUCAACAUUGACUAAUGGAGAAGAAGACAUUGAGAAUGAUGAUGAUGAUAUUGUCAGCCCGGAUGACCUGUCUGAAGUGUUGGCUAUUGGGACAAAAGAGUCCCAUGACAGAGCCGAAAACUCACCAUUUGUCAAGGACUUCCUGAGGGGACGAAUUAAAAGGGAACUUUUUAAGCUUGGCACGGCUGCCCUGUACUUUGUAUAUUCUGCCAUUGAGGACGAGAUAGAAAAGCACAAGGACCACCCCAUGUUCGCCCCGCUGUAUUUCCCCUCCGAGCUGCACAGGCGAGACGCCUUGGCCAAGGACUUGGAGUAUCUGUACGGUGAAGACUGGGAGAGCAAGAUCUCCUGUUCUGAAGCCACUCGGCCCUACGUAGACCGCGUUCACGAGGUGGGCCGUGAAGAUCCGGUCCUCCUGGUGGCGCACGCUUGGACCCGAUACAUGGGUGACCUAUCGGGCGGUCAGAUUCUGAAGAAAGUUGCUCAGCGGGCAUUAAAGCUGCCCUCAACUGGUGAGGGAUCGUACUUCUACCGUUUUGAAGCCAUUCACAACCCCACGGCUUUUAAGAGGCUGUACCGCAGCCGGAUGAAUGAGCUGGAAGUGGAUGCUGAGACCAAACAGAGACUGUUGGAUGAAGCCAACCUGGCCUUCAAGUUUAAUUUGGAUGUCUUCACCGAGCUCCAGGAGAUUGGGAAGGAUAUUAAAGAGGAGGUGCAGGACAUUGGGCUCCCCGCACAUGGGGACAUGGGAGGAGACGUCAGUAAAUGUCCGUACUAUGCGGCCAAAAUGGCGGUGAGUGGAAACACAACCUACGCAUGUCAGUUCGCCAAGACGUUGAUUCAACAACCCACAAUACAGUUGAUGCUGGCCACAUGGGUCGCAGCUCUCGCCGGAUUGGCUGCCUGGUACCUCAUGUGAUCACCUUUACCUGGACAAUCAAUCAAUCAGAAAUUAAGGAAACAGCUACUUUAAGUGAUGCAUGACAUGACACAAACAGAACCGUUGAAGGUCAUUUCAAGACAAACUCCCAAAAACCUUCCCAAAAGCAUCUUUAUCCACAACUCGCCCCAGUCUCGUGGAGAAAAACAUGGUAUCAGAACUGCUGUAACGCUUCAUGCGAAGAAUGACUUCUCCUUUGGUAUCACCAGUAUCUCCUAAAGUCAUCACAUCAGACACGGGCACAUAUAUGUCCCUCCUGUGACCCCAGAAGGUCAGGUGUGACACCUUUAAGAUGGUCUGCGUUGAAUCCAGAUACAUCAUGCCAACCACUCUCCUAACAUAGUGGCUUAUUGAGUAAAGCAUAACACCGGCAAACCCAGCUAUGCAUGUUGUGUAAGUCAGUAGGGUUGCUGAAGCGUCUCCCUGCAGGUAAAGGUAAUAAACGGUGGGCAGUAAAAUGACAGUAAUGCCCGUCUGCAUAAGUUUGAGUCUUGACAGGGCCCGCAAUCCCUUUAUUGGUGGAAACGCAUAGAUUAGAUUGUAUUUCCUUGAUGCCAGAUCAGAACAAAAUGCGACAGGUUGGAUUUGCACUGUGCGCGUGAAUGUGACGGGGGACCGCCGGUGCGCGUGCAAAACCGGGUGAGUGCGUGAACUGAGCCGGUUGAGUACUGCAUGUUGACAUCUACAUCCAUACACAGGAAACCGAGUGAUGCAUAAACGUGCUGACAUUAUCUGAAAAGACAGUAACCAUGGCAACAUCAAUUAAUAUCAUCUUACUAGUAUAACAAGCAAGUUAACUCUAUUAUAUAUCAGUCAUAAAGACUGAAUGCUUGUCAAGGACGAUCUUCACCGAGACUGGAAAACGUGUGACUGAAUUUCAGUUAAAUCAUUUUGUCGACAGAAAAAAACACACAUUAAAAGUGAUGUUUUAAAAGACAAUUUAUUUAAAAAAUAAUAAUUUAUGAA